rnacentral:rRNA from 1 species
AUUGAACGCUGGCGGCAUGCCUAACACAUGCAAGUCGAACGGCAGCGCGGGGGCAACCCUGGCGGCGAGUGGCGGACGGGUGAGGAAUGCAUAGGAAUCUGCCCGGCUGGGGGGGAUAACGUAGGGAAACUUACGCUAAUACCGCAUACGACCUUCGGGUGAAAGUGGGGGACGUUCGGGCCUCACGCGAUGGGAUGAGCCGAUGCCCGAUUAGCUAGUUGGCGGGGUAAGAGCCCACCAAGGCGACGAUCGGUAGCUGGUCUGAGAGGAUGAUCAGCCACACUAGGACUGAGACACGGCCCAGACUCCUACGGGAGGCAGCAGUGGGGAAUAUUGGACAGUGGGCGCAAGCCUGAUCCAGCAAUGCCGCGUGUGUGAAGAAGGCCUUCGGGUUGUAAAGCACUUUUGUUCGGGAAGAAAUCCGUGUGGUUAAUACCCGUACGGGAUGACGGUACCGAAAGAAUAAGCACCGGCUAACUUCGUG